AUGUGCACUGUACUAAAACAUUUACCAUUAUUUCUUACAGUCUUCACACAGCUUUGUAAAGUUGGCAUCAGUAUCCAUUCUACAGCCAGAGUAGCUGAUGGCCUUCAGAAAGGAGCAUGCAUAAUUCAUGGAUUUAGAGAGACCUGCCACACCUUUCAGCUGUGCUAUUCGGCUGUAAUUCAUCUUUGGAGCAAAGGGAUUCCGAAUGAAAAGGUCAAACCACUCGGAAGCUGUAUUGGCAUCUAACAGAGCAAUUCUGUGUCCUGGGAUAUCUACCAAACCCUCCAGCUCAGGCCUGUUUCCAAAAGAAGCCUACUUGUAACACCUUUUAGCAGGGGUUAAAAAAACAAUAAGACUGCUGGAAGGAACUGGAGGAAGACUAUUUUGUAUCUUAAAGGACCUAGGGUCCUAGAUGAGAAUCAACAAAGGCAAAAUCUGAGAAGCCAGAGUAGUCUGGUGGAAAGAAUAACAGCUGGGAAAUCCCUGGACUAGGCACUCCUGCCAGCUCUGCUGAGAGCCUGUCACUGUCACAUCACCCCUGGAGCCUUCUGUCCUCUCCCACAAAGGGAAGGAGGUGGAAGAUAAGAUCUGCAACGUUCCUCUCACCUCUCACCUUCUAUCAGGCUCAUUUAGGAGCUUGAGUAACAUUUAGGGACAACUUGGCUGUGAACAAAAGGUUUCCAAAUACGACCUCAAAACCAUAAAUCUAGUAGACAAACCUGGAGGAAAAGAAAAUGCACCAUUCGGAGCUGCAGGCGGUGCUAUAACAUCCCUCAGAGACUCAUUCUGACAAGUCACAAAGACUUGUGUGAAAAAGAAAUUCCUUUGAUAACUGCUUGCCUGGAGUUGACUGACACCUUUCAAAGGAAAUGAGGUAAGAGGACAAAGAGGGCAUGGGCUCAGCAGUCGGGAAAUUGGGAUAGAAACACCACGAGAGAUUAAAUCACAUCUAGAGAAGUAUAAUCACUGAUAUUUAAGAUGAAGAGAUUGGCAAACAGGAACAUUUUGUAAUCUCAGAAGUAAAAUGUUUGUAAGUCAGUAAGUUGGGUCAGAAAUGAAAGUUGGAAUCUUAAUUAUUUUGUUAUUUUCCUUUGGUUUCAGGGUCCUCUGGUUUAUAUUUUACCUUUAGUUAAAACAAUAGUAAUUCAACAAAUUAUUAUUAAAUACCCACUUGUGUCAGGCUUCUUUGGUG
ensembl:lncRNA